GGACUUACCUGGCAGGGGAGAUACCAUGAUCAUGAAGGUGGUUUUCCCAGGGCGAGGCUUAUCCAUUGCACUCUGGAUGUGCUGACCCCUGCAAUUUUCCCAAAUGCGGGAAACUCGACUGCAUAAUUUGUGGUAGUGGGGGACUGAGUUCGUGCUCCCCCCCC
ensembl:snRNA LOC120094884 U1 spliceosomal RNA